rnacentral:rRNA from 1 species
UGGGGGCAUGCCUUACAAUGCAAGUCGAACGGUAGAGUAGCAAUACUUGAGAGUGGCGAACGGGUGAGUAAUAUAUCGGAACGUGCCCAGUCGUGGGGGAUAACGUAAAGAAAUUUACGCUAAUACCGCAUACGAUCUAAGGAUGAAAGCGGGGGAUUCGCAAGAACCUCGCGCGAUUGGAGCGGCUGAUAUCAAAUUAGGUUGUUGGUGAGGUAAAAGCUCACCAAGCCGACGAUCUGUAGCUGGUUUGAGAGAACGACCAGCCACACUGGGACUGAGACACGGCCCAAACUCCUACGGGAGGCAGCAGUGGGGAAUUUUGGACAAUGGGCGAAAGCCUGAUCCAGCAAUGCCGCGUGCAGGAAGAAGGCCUUCGGGUUGUAAACUGCUUUUGUACGGAACGAAAAAGUCUUUUCUAAUAAAGAGGGCUCAUGACGGUACCGUAAGAAUAAGCACCGGCUAACUACGUGCCAGCAGCCGCGGUAAUACGUAGGGUGCGAGCGUUAAUCGGAAUUACUGGGCGUAAAGCGUGCGCAGGCGGUUCUAUAAGACAGAUGUGAAAUCCCCGGGCUCAACCUGGGAAUGGCAUUUGUGACUGUAGAGCUAGAGUACGGUAGAGGGGGAUGGAAUUCCGCGUGUAGCAGUGAAAUGCGUAGAUAU